rnacentral:rRNA from 1 species
GACGAACGCUGGCGGCGCGCCUAACACAUGCAAGUCGAACGAGCGAGAGAGAGCUUGCUUUCUCGAGCGAGUGGCGAACGGGUGAGUAACGCGUGAGGAACCUGCCUCAAAGAGGGGGACAACAGUUGGAAACGACUGCUAAUACCGCAUAAGCCCACAGCUCGGCAUCGAGCAGAGGGAAAAGGAGUGAUCCGCUUUGAGAUGGCCUCGCGUCCGAUUAGCUAGUUGGUGAGGUAACGGCCCACCAAGGCGACGAUCGGUAGCCGGACUGAGAGGUUGAACGGCCACAUUGGGACUGAGACACGGCCCAGACUCCUACGGGAGGCAGCAGUGGGGAAUAUUGCACAAUGGGGGAAACCCUGAUGCAGCGACGCCGCGUGGAGGAAGAAGGUCUUCGGAUUGUAAACUCCUGUUGUUGAGGAAGAUAAUGACGGUACUCAACAAGGAAGUGACGGCUAACUACGUGCCAGCAGCCGCGGUAAAACGUAGGUCACAAGCGUUGUCCGGAAUUACUGGGUGUAAAGGGAGCGCAGGCGGGAAAGCAAGUUGGAAGUGAAAUCCAUGGGCUCAACCCAUGAACUGCUUUCAAAACUGUUUUUCUUGAGUAGUGCAGAGGUAGGCGGAAUUCCCGGUGUAGCGGUGGAAUGCGUAGAUAUCGGGAGGAACACCAGUGGCGAAGGCGGCCUGCUGGGCACCAACUGACGCUGAGGCUCGAAAGUGUGGGUAGCAAACAGG